UACGUAGGGACCAAGCGUUGUUCGGAUUUACUGGGCGUAAAGGGCGCGUAGGCGGCAAUUCAAGUCAGCUGUGAAAUCUCCGGGCUUAACUCGGAACGGUCAGCUGAUACUGCUUUGCUAGAGUGCGGAAGGGGCAAUCGGAAUUCUCGGUGUAGCGGUGAAAUGCGUAGAUAUCGAGAGGAACACCUGAGGUGAAGACGGGUUGCUGGGCCGACACUGACGCUGAGGCGCGAAAGCGUGGGGAGCAAACGGG
rnacentral:rRNA from 1 species